rnacentral:sRNA from 1 species
AAUUCGUGUUGUUUAUUGCAUCGUUAUCAGGGGUGGAGGAUUUGGGGAGGGUGAAGGGGUGAUGGCAGGGGCAGAAGAGACCAGGCUCAAUGAUGGCUGCAAUGCAGCAACUAAUUUUUUUCUCCUUUUCCUUUUUUUCUUGUUGUUUUUGCUUUAAGUAGGCCUGUCGUUGUGUGACAUUGUAAAAGGGAUAGUAAACUGGAUCCCAGCUUUUAUGUGUGGACCAGUGACUAUGUUUACCCUAUGUUUGUGUGCAGGCAGGCUACCAAAUUACCCAGCAGAGGCUCCCAAUUGCUGUGAAUGGGAGCUUGAUAUAUGGCGUCUGUGCAGGGAAGAAGCAGAGUCAGGUGAUCCCCAAGACGGUGAGGAUCAAGCAGAUCCAGUUGGAGCAAGACAGUGGCAAAAGCCUCCACGACAACCUGAGGUCUCAGACGCUCAUUGAUUUGAACAGGGCAGGAGUGGGCCUUCUGGAGGUGGUCCUGGAGCCCGACAUGUCCUGUGGAGAAGAGGCGGCAACAGCUGUCAGGGAGCUGCAGCUGAUCCUUCAAGCCCUGGGGACCAGCCAGGCGAACAUGGCAGAGGGCCAGUUGAGAGUGGAUGCCAAUAUAUCCGUGCAUCACCCUGGGGAGCCUUUGGGCGUUCGAACGGAAGUGAAGAAUCUCAACAGCAUCAGGUUCCUGGCCAAAGCCAUAGACUAUGAAAUUCAGAGGCAAAUCAAUGAACUUGAGAAUGG